CCUACGGGUCGCACCAGUGGGGAAUAUUGCACAAUGGGCGCAAGCCUGAUGCAGCCAUGCCGCGUGUAUGAAGAAGGCCUUCGGGUUGUAAAGUACUUUCAGCGGGGAGGAAGGUGUUGUGGUUAAUAACCACAGCAAUUGACGUUACCCGCAGAAGAAGCACCGGCUAACUCCGUGCCAGCAGCCGCGGUAAUACGGAGGGUGCAAACGUUAAUCGGAAUUACUGGGCGUAAAGCGCACGCAGGUGGUCUGUCAAGUCGGAUGUGAAAUCCCCGGGCUCAACCUGGGAACUGCAUUCGAAACUGGCAGGCUAGAGUCUUGUAGAGGGGGGUAGAAUUCCAGGCGUAGCGGUGAAAUGCGUAGAGAUCUGGAGGAAUACCGGUGGCGAAGGCGGCCCCCUGGACAAAGACUGACGCUCAGGUGCGAAAGCGUGGGGAGCAGACAGGAUUAGAUACCCCCGUAGUC
rnacentral:rRNA from 1 species